AUCGCUUCUUGGCCUUUUGGCUAAGAUCAAGUAUAGUAUCUGUUCUUACCAGUUUAAUUCACACAUUCAGACGUGAAUCUGGGCAGCCUCAUGAGGAGAAUUGCACCAAACACCAGUU
ensembl:snRNA U2 U2 spliceosomal RNA